AACAUUCCCAUAUCCCAUUCCAUUCAUCUGAUUUUAGGGUUUGGAACUCUUUUCGUACCUCCGUUCUCUUUCAAUUUCCGAUAGCCUCCUUCACCUAUCUCCGUUAAACGUCGAUCGGCACCGGAAUUAUAUUACACAUAUAUGAUGGAGAUUUACACGUCGAUAAUGGUUUCGUUCAGAUCCACGGUGCAUGGAUGCGAUCUUCACGAUCGUUUUGGUUUCUGGAGUUUUUCAUCGAGAGAUCCAUGAUUCUAUGUAAAUCAAGACUAUCGAGGUUUUUUGCAGGUAUGGAGGCCGAUCGUCAAGUAUAUCGGAGACAGAUCUAUAUAUUGUUUAUAAUUACGGAUUCAGCUCUAAAACUGUAGGGGCUCCAUGAAGUUUGAUACACCAUAGAGAGAUGUUGCAGAUCUUCUAUGUGUUAAUUAUGUAUAUGAUUGAGAGCUUUGCGGGAGUGGUAGAAUGGACGUAGGAUGUAUCAGGAUUAUAGGCUUCGAUGCGCUCUUGUCAUCCGACCUUUGCCAUGUCAGGUGCGCUUGCUUGGCAGGUCAAAAAAAUAAAAUAAAAAAGAUUUGUUGGUUUUUGGGAGAGAUCGCACGGGGAUUUUGCCUGGGAUCUCUCCCUCGUGUGGUGUUUGUCUCUUUUUUUAUGCUUCUUUAUUAUUAUGCUCUACUCGCCAUAGCACCAUGCAUAAUCCUCCAAGAAAUUCUCCAUCUCCAUAUCAAGGUAUUAUUCAUCUUUUCAAUGGUAAAUAACAAUCCAAAUUAAUAUUAGUUUAGAUAGAUAUCAAUUUAAGUAUCAGUUCUGAUUAAUCUGAAUUUCAAUUUAAUUAAUUUCUGUUAAAAUUUAACCAAUUUCAGGCCAAUUCAAAAUUAACAUUUCAUAGCUUCCUAUUAAAAACUAAACUAACUAAUAGAAUUGUUUGUAAAUACAGUAUUGCUGUUGAAUUAGAUAUUAGAUAUGAAAUUUGUUGUCUAGGUUAGUUUUCCAGAUGUACAUAUUUGUUAUCUGAAAUGUAUAUUCUAAAGCUUGAUUAUGGAUAUAUAUUAGAUGUUCAUUGUAAAGUUACCAUCUAUUAAUUACAUAGCAAGGGCAACAACGUUAAUCCAACCAUUCAUUCCCAAAAAUCAAUUAUACAAGAAAAUUACAUAGCAAGGGCAACAACGUUAAUCCAACCAUUCAUUCCCAAAAAUCAAUUAUACAAGAAAGAAUGGGAAUAAUUAUUCUUUACUAUCAUUCCAUUCAACGGAUUUUAGGAUUUCAGAUUUACACGAUAAUGGUUUCUUUCAGAUGGGAAUAUUCAUGGAGAACUCAUUGAUACUUUUGUAAAUCAAGGCUCUCCAGGUUUUAUUUGUAGGUGCUCUAUGGAGUCAGAUCUAUAUAGUUGUGCUGCCAGGUUAUAUAAUUAAGGAUGUUUCAACUCUUGAACUGUUGCCAGUUUAUAAUUAAGGAUGUUUCAGCUUUUGAACUAUAGGCGAUGUAUGGAGUUUGAUAGGCGAUGCGGGUUGAUAGGCGAUGCGGGUUGAUAGGUGAUGUAUGGAGUUUGAUAGGCGAUGGGGGUUGAUAGGAAUGUAUGGAGUUUGAUAUUAUGUACAUGAUUGAGAGCUUUGCAGGAGGGAUGUAGGAUGUAUCCAGAUUAUAGGCCUCUUCCGACCUUUGCCAUGUCAGGUGCGCUUGCUUGGCCGGUCAAUAAAAUAAUAAAUGGUUGAUUUUUCGGAGAGAUCGCAUGGGAUUUUGCCCGGGUUCUCUCCCUCGCGUGGUGUGCGUCUUUCUCUUUUUUUUUUCUUUUUUCUUUAUUAUUAUAUUACGAUCCCAACUCUCCAUAGCACCUUGCAUAUCUCCGAUUCCAUCUCAAGGUAUUAUUCAUAUUAAUUUGGCAAAUAACAUUUUAAAUAAAGUAUUAAUUUUAGUUAUUUUUGUUUGAUCUGUUAUGAAUUUCAAUUUCACUUAUAAUUAAUUCUGUUAGUCGAAAUUAACUUUUCAUCAGGUUUCCUAUGGUUUCAACUUCUGUUGGCUAUUUUAUUAACUUGAAGUUUAUUGUACAAUUCAUCAAUAACACCAAUCAAGAUACAGUAUUUUGUUUAAUUAAAGUAUAUUGGUGCAGAAUUUGAAUAUUUACAUGGAUGGUACUUUGAUUAAGUAUAGAUAUCAAACUCCUUACAUGGAUGGUGUUGAAUUCAUUUGCAUCUAUUGUUAAAUAAAGUUUUGCUCUCUAUAUAGGUUGUUCACAGAUAUAUAUUAGAUGAUUAUUGGCUAAUAACCAUUUACCAACAAUACCAACGUAGGGAUUGUAAUUGCUACGUGAGAACAACAAUCAUGGAAUGAAGCAAUACUUUGGAUUCAUGUAUGGGUCCAUCCUCAAUCUUCAAGGUAAAGAUGAGUAAAGAUCUCUCACAUGUGUUAAGCAAAGUAAUGUUUUCUUGUUUUCAUAAUGUUUAGCAGUUUAGGUAAUGCAAUUUUAUGUUUCAAUUUCUUAUUCUCAUUAUAAUAGUAUUAGACUGAGUAUUCAACUUAAAUGGUUAUUCUGAGAACUUCAAAUUGAUGCAAAUACGUUAGUUAUAUUUAUUAAUUAAUUUUUUUAUUCAGGAUUCAGAUUGCAUUAUUGUAUAACAAAUAUGCACUUCUGUGUGUUGUUCAGAUUUAUUAUUUAAAUUUUAUCUUUUUUGAUUUUUCUUUAAUUAUUAAUUAUUAAUUAUUAAUGACUUGGUGGUUAUUUUUGUUUUUUUUUCUAAUGUGAAUAUGGAUGCCAAAGAUUCAUAUAGAAUGUACUUUUUUGUUAUAUCUGGGAUUUGCAAUUCUUAUGAAGUAUUCUAUUUCAAAAACGAACUUGUUUUUAUGUAGGACUAUUUGUCUUCUUUAUUUAUCACGCGAAGGACCUUUUUUUACUAACAAAUCUUAAAAUCCGUGACCUUUAUAAAAUUAUCACUAUGAUCCUUUUCAGUAAAACAUAGGAAUGUAGUUUUUCAGAUUUUGAAGAUUGAUGUAAGUUUUUGUAUUUUGUGGUAGUCUUUUUUAUAGAAAUUUGAUAUAUUGUCUACUUUUAUACAGAGUGGUGUGUUGCUCUUGUUCUAUCUACGUUCGAAUGAACAUUUUGUUGGUUACAUGUGUUGCUCUUGUCCGAUUUGAUAUAAUGAUUUUUAUUCUCCGCGAGUAAUUAAGUUUUCAAAAUCAAAGGAUCUCUGGGUUUAAUCUCAAACUUUUAGCCAUUUUUUAUUAGAUUUCCUUUAGUAUUAGGUUUAGGGACGUGUUAAGUAAUCUUAACAGUUAAAGUUUGACUACGAUACUUUGUUUUUAAAGGAGUUGAUUGCAUUUUUAUAAAAUGGCUGUUCUGCCUUUUUUAAAAACUUGUUCUUUUACAAUUAGUAUUCGUCUAAAUUUAUAUCUGUAGAUGCUUUGAAGUGGACUUUCUGAUUGAUCAAAGGUGCACACUUGGUUGAGGUGAAAUUGACAGAAAAAUAGUUAGUGACUGCAGUAAGAAUUUCAGGUCAGAAUGGGACUGCAGUGAUCUGAUUCUUUGCUUUCAGUAUGAGGAAUAUUCCUCGGUGAGGCAGUAUGAGGAAUAUUCCUCGGUGUUGGAGUUUUGGCGCAUCCGAGAACUUAUCAUUUUGCUGACGUCCUCCAUGCCUAAAACUCAUGGAGCAAUUCUCUAUUUAUAUAAUUUAUCAAUUGACCUGCAGGAAGGGAUGAGAAAUUUCUGAAAUAUUGAAUCAUCUAUAUCUGGUAUCACUUGGAUAUUUCUCACCUCAUCUUUACCAUGAAAAAUCUGUAGCUCAAAUAGGUAGAGCACUCAGAAAAUUUUGGUGUAGCAUACUGGAAUGUCUGUGAGGUGGUGGUUCGAAUCCAUCCAGAUUUGCAAUUUGUUUGUUUAUUUGUAGUGAGAUUUUUUAGAACCUAUUUUGGAGGAAACAGCUUCGGCACUCAGUCAUGUUUGACUCGGGAGUAUUCCUUGGAUAAUACCUUGAAUAUCAAGAUGCCGCAUAUAUUUUCGAAGAGGAAAUUUUGUUUAUGUCGGUGAAUUACAACACUUUUUUUCUUCUUUCAUUAAUCACAACUUGCUUUGCCAUUUAUACCA